rnacentral:rRNA from 1 species
UGAGCAAUCUGCCCUUCUCAUCGGAAUAAGCGUUGGAAACGACGUCUAAUGCCGAAUACGACCUCCUUUCGCAUGAUCGGAGGUGGAAAGCUCCGGCGGAGAAGGAUGAGCUCGCGGCCUAUCAGCUAGUUGGUGUGGGUAAUGGCCCACAAGGCGACGACGGGUAGCCGGCCUGGAGAGGGUGAUCGGCCACACUGGGACUGAGACACGGCCCAGACCUCCCGUAAGGGGA